GUAUGAUAGUCCAAAUGUGGAUAUAAACAGUUAUGUGCCACUUAGCACACACAGCUGUGUUUGUAUUAGCAGACAAGCCAUUCUCUGAUCUCUGCUUCUUGCAUAUCAUGUAGAUAUGAAUUUGGUUCCCAGGAGAACUGAGCUGUGAAUCUCAAAAACUGAAAUCAGCAACAGAAACGGGAAGUGUUAGGAGCAGACUGGCCACCUCUCAGUGCAGAAAGCUCAUCCUCUUUGAGUGAGUUUGGAUUUGCUUUUGGGUAGUGUGUUAGUGAAUGGCUUCAGAAACCAGAAUAUUCACAGAUGUGACUGACCAUGUAAGAACAUACUGAAGGAAAGUGAAUUUGCUGAUCCUGAAGCUAAGCCUUGAACACUUGAUACUUGAUGAGAUGCUCCUCUAAGCCAGGGAAGAGAAACAGUACUGAUGAACCUACAGGAGCAGCUCUGAUGAAGCAACAUGCCUCAGCUUUCCAAGGUGUCAACUUUACUAUUUUGCCUUUGCUAUAAAUGAUGACUUCACAAGGACCUGUCUGAGGGAACCAUGUAGAACAAGUUGGCACCAAUAUUUUGGCUAUUGCUGAGCAGUUCCAGCACAGCACCAAGACUGACUCUCCAACUCCCAGCCCUAACAAAGGUGAGUAGUCUUGCUUGGUGAGGGAUGGGGAGAGGACAUUGUCA